CCUACGGGGGGCAGCAGUGGGGAAUAUUGCACAAUGGGGGAAACCCUGAUGCAGCGACGCCGCGUGAGUGAAGAAGUAAUUCGUUACGUAAAGCUCUAUCAGCAGGGAAGAAAAUGACGGUACCUGAGUAAGAAGCCCCGGCUAACUACGUGCCAGCAGCCGCGGGAAUACGUAGGGGGCAAGCGUUAUCCGGAUUUACUGGGUGUAAAGGGAGCGUAGACGGUGAUGCAAGUCAGAAGUGAAAGCCCGGGGCUCAACGCCGGGACUGCUUUUGAAACUGUGUGACUGGAGUGCAGGAGAGGUAAGCGGAAUGCCUGGUGUAGCGGUGAAAUGCGUAGAUAUCAGGAGGAACACCAGUGGCGAAGGCGGCUUACUGGACUGUAACUGACGUUGAGGCUCGAAAGCGUGGGGAGCAAACAGGAUUAGAUACCCGUGUAGUC
rnacentral:rRNA from 1 species